GAAACAGUUACAGUGUAAAAAAAAUUUGCCUCCGAGGGAUCCAACUAUCCAAGCAUCCAACAACAUUCUCUGCAUAACCGAAGCCCGAAGGCAUCAUGGUCCUCAUGGACAUUAAACACGGAAAGCUCCUCUAUCUCCAUUCUCUAGCGUUCAGAAUUCUAGGGUUUGAUUGAGGAUCUCUGAUUUAGCUCUCGACGCAGCUGAAAUUGAAUUCAUCGAUCAGCAGCAAUCGAGGAUACAUCGCAAAGUUACUCCUCAAGUCUGGUUGCAUAAAAGUUCUCAUAUAAAGUGAAAAAAAAUGCAA